rnacentral:rRNA from 1 species
AACGCGAAGAACCUUACCUGGCCUUGACAUCCAGAGAACUUAGCAGAGAUGCUUUGGUGCCUUCGGGAACUCUGAGACAGGUGCUGCAUGGCUGUCGUCAGCUCGUGUUGUGAAAUGUUGGGUUAAGUCCCGCAACGAGCGCAACCCUUAUCCUUUGUUGCCAGCGGCUCGUCCGGGAACUCAAAGGAGACUGCCGGUGAUAAACCGGAGGAAGGUGGGGAUGACGUCAAGUCAUCAUGGCCCUUACGGCCAGGGCUACACACGUGCUACAAUGGCGCAUGCAAAGAGAAGCGACCUCGCGAGAGCAAGCGGACCUCAUAAAGUGCGUCGUAGUCCGGAUUGGAGUCUGCAACUCGACUCCGUGAAGUCGGAAUCGCUAGUAAUCGUAGAUCAGAAUGCUACGGUGAUACGUUCCCGGGCAUUGCACUCACCGCCCGUA